rnacentral:rRNA from 1 species
CCAUGCCGCGUGUGUGAAGAAGGCCUUCGGGUUGUAAAGCACUUUCGGACGGAACGAAAUCGCGCGGGUUAACAGCCCGCGUGGAUGACGGUACCGUAAGAAGAAGCACCGGCUAACUACGUGCCAGCAGCCGCGGUAAUACGUAGGGUGCGAGCGUUAAUCGGAAUUACUGGGCGUAAAGGGUGCGCAGGCGGCCCCGCAAGUCAGGCGUGAAAUCCCCGGGCUCAACUUGGGAAUGGCGCUUGAAACUACGGGGCUGGAGUGUGGCAGAGGGAGGUGGAAUUCCACGUGUAGCGGUGAAAUGCGUAGAGAUGUGGAGGAACACCGAUGGCGAAGGCAGCCUCCUGGGCCAACACUGACGCUCAUGCACGAAAGCGUGGGGAGCAAACAGGAUUAGAUACCCUGGUAGUCCACGCCCUAAACGAUGACGACUAGUUGUUGGGAGAGUUAAAUCUCUUAGUAACGCAGCUAACGCGCGAAGUCGUCCGCCUGGGGAGUACGGUCGCAAGAUUA